rfam:Callithrix jacchus chromosome 22, whole genome shotgun sequence
UCUCACGCUGUGACGCUCCAAAGGAAAGCACUUUCUGUUGUCUGAAAGAAAUGAAUGUGUCUUCCUUUAGAGAGUCAUUGUUUGAGA